CAGUAGCCACGGUAAAACGUAGGGUGCGAGCGUUAAUCGGAAUUACUGGGCGUAAAGCGUGCGCAGGCGGUUCGUUAAGACAGAUGUGAAAUCCCCGGGCUUAACCUGGGAACUGCAUUUGUGACUGGCGAGCUAGAGUAUGGCAGAGGGGGGUAGAAUUCCACGUGUAGCAGUGAAAUGCGUAGAGAUGUGGAGGAAUACCGAUGGCGAAGGCAGCCCCCUGGGCCAAUACUGACGCUCAUGCACGAAAGCGUGGGGAGCAAACAGGAUUAGAUACCCCCGUAGUCCCUGUCUCUUAUAC
rnacentral:rRNA from 1 species